rnacentral:rRNA from 1 species
UCACCGUUAGCUUGCUCCACCGGAAAAAGAAGAGUGGCGAACGGGUGAGUAACACGUGGGUAACCUGCCCAUCAUAAGGGGAUAACACUUGGAAACAGGUGCUAAUACCGUAUAACAAUCAAAACCGCAUGGUUUUGAUUUGAAAGGCGCUUUCGGGUGUCGCUGAUGGAUGGACCCGCGGUGCAUUAGCUAUUUGGUGAGGUAACGGCUCACCAAGGCCACAAUGCAUAACCGACCUGAGAGGGUGAUCGGCCACAUUGGGACUGAAACACGGCCCAAACUCCUACAGGAGGCAGCAGUAGGGAAUCUUCGGCAAUGGACGAAAGUCUGACCGAGCAACGCCGCGUGAGUGAAAAAGGUUUUCGGAUCGUAAAACUCUGUUGUUAGAGAAGAACAAGGAUGAUAGUAACUGUUCAUCCCUUGACGGUAUCUAACCAGAAAGCCACGGCUAACUACGUGCCAGCAGCCGCGGUAAUACGUAGGUGGCAAGCGUUGUCCGGAUUUAUUGGGCGUAAAGCGAGCGCAAGCGGUUUCUUAAGUCUGAUGUGAAAGCCCCCGGCUCAACCGGGGAGGGUCAUUGGAAACUGGGAGACUUGAGUGCUGAAUAUGAGAGUGGAAUUCCAUG